AGUGGGGAAUAUUGCACAAUGGGCGCAAGCCUGAUGCAGCCAUGCCGCGUGUAUGAAGAAGGCCUUCGGGUUGUAAAGUACUUUCAGCAGUGAGGAAGGUGGGUAUGUUAAUAGCAUAUUCAUUUGACCGUUAGCUGCAGAAGAAGCACCGGCUAACUCCGUGCCAGCAGCCGCGGUAAUACGGAGGGUGCGAGCGUUUAAUCGGAAUUACUGGGCGUAAAGCGCAUGCAGGUGGUUUGUUAAGUCAGAUGUGAAAGCCCGGGGCUCAACCUCGGAAUUGCAUUUGAAACUGGCAAACUAGAGUACUGUAGAGGGGGUAGAAUUUCAGGUGUAGCGGUGAAAUGCGUAGAGAUCUGAAGGAAUACCGGUGGCGAAGGCGGCCCCCCUGGACAGAUACUGACACUCCAGAUGCGAAAGCCGUGGGGAGCAAACAGGAUUAGAUACCCUGGUAG
rnacentral:rRNA from 1 species